UACGUAGGGCGCAAGCGUUAUCCGGAAUUAUUGGGCGUAAAGAGCUCGUAGGCGGCCGUGCAAGUCUGGCGUGAAAGCCCCGGGCUCAGCCCGGGAAGUGCGCUCGAAACUGCGCGGCUCGAGUGCCGGAGGGGAGAGUGGAAUUCCUGGUGUAGCGGUGAAAUGCGUAGAUAUCAGGAGGAAUACCGGUGGCGAAAGCGGCGCUCUGGACCGAGACUGACGCUGAGGCGCGAAAGCGUGGGGAGCAAACAGG
rnacentral:rRNA from 1 species